rnacentral:rRNA from 1 species
GAUGAACGCUGGCGGCGUGCCUAAUACAUGCAACUCGAGCGAACAGACGAGGAGCUUGCUCCUCUGACGUUAGCGGCGGACGGGUGAGUAACACGUGGAUAACCUACCUAUAAGACUGGGAUAACUUCGGGAAACCGGAGCUAAUACCGGAUAAUAUAUUGAACCGCAUGGUUCAAUAGUGAAAGACGGUUUUGCUGUCACUUAUAGAUGGAUCCGCGCCGCAUUAGCUAGUUGGUAAGGUAACGGCUUACCAAGGCAACGAUGCGUAGCCGACCUGAGAGGGUGAUCGGCCACACUGGAACUGAGACACGGUCCAGACUCCUACGGGAGGCAGCAGUAGGGAAUCUUCCGCAAUGGGCGAAAGCCUGACGGAGCAACGCCGCGUGAGUGAUGAAGGUCUUCGGAUCGUAAAACUCUGUUAUUAGGGAAGAACAAAUGUGUAAGUAACUAUGCACGUCUUGACGGUACCUAAUCAGAAAGCCACGGCUAACUACGUG